rnacentral:rRNA from 1 species
AGGGUUUGAUUAUGGCUCAGAUUGAACGCUGGCGGCAUGCCUUACACAUGCAAGUCGAACGGCAGCACGGGGGCAACCCUGGUGGCGAGUGGCGAACGGGUGAGUAAUACAUCGGAACGUGUCCUGUAGUGGGGGAUAGCCCGGCGAAAGCCGGAUUAAUACCGCAUACGCUCUGCGGAGGAAAGCGGGGGCUCCUUCGGGACCUCGCGCUACAGGGGCGGCCGAUGGCAGAUUAGCUAGUUGGUGGGGUAAAGGCCUACCAAGGCGACGAUCUGUAGCUGGUCUGAGAGGACGACCAGCCACACUGGGACUGAGACACGGCCCAGACUCCUACGGGAGGCAGCAGUGGGGAAUUUUGGACAAUGGGCGCAAGCCUGAUCCAGCAAUGCCGCGUGUGUGAAGAAGGCCUUCGGGUUGUAAAGCACUUUUGUCCGGAAAGAAAACCUCAGCCCUAAUACGGCGGGGGGAUGACGGUACCGGAAGAAUAAGCACCGGCUAACUACGUGCCAGCAGCCGCGGUAAUACGUAGGGUGCAAGCGUUAAUCGGAAUUACUGGGCGUAAAGCGUGCGCAGGCGGUCCGCUAAGACAGAUGUGAAAUCCCCGGGCUUAACCUGGGAACUGCAUUUGUGACUGGCGGGCUAGAGUAUGGCAGAGGGGGGUAGAAUUCCACGUGUAGCAGUGAAAUGCGUAGAGAUGUGGAGGAAUACCGAUGGCGAAGGCAGCCCCCUGGGCCAAUACUGACGCUCAUGCACGAAAGCGUGGGGAGCAAACAGGAUUAGAUACCCUGGUAGUCCACGCCCUAAACGAUGUCAACUAGUUGUCGGGCCUUCAUUGGCUUGGUAACGUAGCUAACGCGUGAAGUUGACCGCCUGGGGAGUACGGUCGCAAGAUUAAAACUCAAAGGAAUUGACGGGGACCCGCACAAGCGGUGGAUGAUGUGGAUUAAUUCG